rnacentral:rRNA from 1 species
AGUGAACGCUGGCGGUAGGCCUAACACAUGCAAGUCGAACGGCAGCACAGUAAGAGCUUGCUCUUACGGGUGGCGAGUGGCGGACGGGUGAGGAAUACAUCGGAAUCUACUUUUUCGUGGGGGAUAACGUAGGGAAACUUACGCUAAUACCGCAUACGACCUACGGGUGAAAGCAGGGGAUCUUCGGACCUUGCGCGAUUGAAUGAGCCGAUGUCGGAUUAGCUAGUUGGCGGGGUAAAGGCCCACCAAGGCGACGAUCCGUAGCUGGUCUGAGAGGAUGAUCAGCCACACUGGAACUGAGACACGGUCCAGACUCCUACGGGAGGCAGCAGUGUGGAAUAUUGGACAAUGGGCGCAAGCCUGAUCCAACCAUACCGCGUGGGUGAAGAAGGCCUUCGGGUUGUAAAGACCUUUUGUUGGGAAAGAAAAGCAGCAGGUUAAUACCCCGCUGUUCUGACGGUACCCAAAGAAUAAGCACCGGCUAACUUCGUG